rnacentral:rRNA from 1 species
GAUGAACGCUGGCGGCGUGCUUAACACAUGCAAGUCGAACGGAAAGGCCCAAGCUUGCUUGGGUACUCGAGUGGCGAACGGGUGAGUAACACGUGGGUGAUCUGCCCUGCACUUUGGGAUAAGCCUGGGAAACUGGGUCUAAUACCGGAUAGGACCAUCGUUUAGUGUCGGUGGUGGAAAGUUUUUCGGUGUGGGAUGAGCUCGCGGCCUAUCAGCUUGUUGGUGGGGUAAUGGCCUACCAAGGCGUCGACGGGUAGCCGGCCUGAGAGGGUGUACGGCCACAUUGGGACUGAGAUACGGCCCAGACUCCUACGGGAGGCAGCAGUGGGGAAUAUUGCACAAUGGGCGCAAGCCUGAUGCAGCGACGCCGCGUGGGGGAUGACGGCCUUCGGGUUGUAAACUCCUUUCGCCAAGGACGAAGCGUUUUGUGACGGUACUUGGAGAAGAAGCACCGGCUAACUACGUG